rnacentral:rRNA from 1 species
CCUACGGGUGGCAGCAGUGAGGAAUAUUGGUCAAUGGGCGUGAGCCUGAACCAGCCAAGUCGCGUGAAGGAUGAAGGUUCUAUGGUUCGUAAACUUCUUUUAUAUGGGAAUAAAGUGAGGGACGUGUCCUUUUUUGUAUGUACCAUAUGAAUAAGCAUCGGCUAACUCCGUGCCAGCAGCCGCGGUAAUACGGAGGAUGCGAGCGUUAUCCGGAUUUAUUGGGUUUAAAGGGUGCGUAGACGGGCUUUUAAGUCAGUGGUGAAAGUUUGCGGCUCAACCGUAGAAUUGCAGUUGAAACUGGGGGGCUUGAGUAUAGUUGAGGUAGGCGGAAUGCGUGGUGUAGCGGUGAAAUGCUUAGAUAUCACGAAGAACCCCGAUUGCGAAGGCAGCCUACCAAGCCACGACUGACGCUGAUGCACGAAAGUGUGGGGAUCAAACAGGAUUAGAUACCCGUGUAGUC